rnacentral:rRNA from 1 species
AAUCAACGCUGGCGGCGUGCCUCAGACAUGCAAGUCGAACGAUUAAAGCUCUCUUCGGAGAGUGUAUAGAGUGGCGCACGGGUGAGUAACACGUAAGUAAUCUACCUUUGAGUGGGGAAUAACCCGGGGAAACCCGAGCUAAUACCGCAUAAUGCAGCGGCACCGCAAGGUGACAGUUGUUAAAGGAGCAAUCCGCUUAAAGAGGAGCUUGCGGCAGAUUAGCUAGNGGUAAGGUAAUGGCUUACCAAGGCUUCGAUCUGUAUCCGGCCUGAGAGGGCGGUCGGACACACUGACACUGAAUAACGGGUCAGACUCCUACGGGAGGCAGCAGUCGGGAAUUUGGGCAAUGGGCGAAAGCCUGACCCAGCAACGCCGCGUGAAGGAUGAAGUAUUUCGGUAUGUAAACUUCGAAAGAAUGGGAAGAAUCAAUGACGGUACCAUUUAUAAGGUCCGGCUAACUACGUGCCAGCAGCCGCAGUAAG